rnacentral:rRNA from 1 species
UACGAAGGGGGGCUAGCGUUGCUCGGAAUGACUGGGCGUAAAGGGCGCGUAGGCGGCUCACAGAGUCGGACGUGAAAUUCCUGGGCUUAACCUGGGGGGCUGCGUUUCGAUACCUGUGGACUAGAGUGGGGAAGAGGGUCGUGGAAUUCCCAGUGUAGAGGUGAAAUUCGUAGAUAUUGGGAAGAACACCGGUGGCGUAGGCGGCGCCUGGUCCUUUUACUGAGCUGAGGCGCGAAAAGCGUGGGGGAGCAAAACAGG